rnacentral:lncRNA from 1 species
AAUGGAAUAAGGAACGGGGAAAGCUACGGGAUUGACAUCAAUAAUGUGACAGCUUGCAUCAGAAAACCUUUCUCAUCGCAAUUCUGUUGUCAGAACAAAAACAGCCGAAUCUCGGCAGGGAAUGGAAUAAGGAAUGGGGAAAGCUACGGGAUCGACAUCAAUAAUGUGACAGCUUGCAUCAGAAAACCUUUCUCAUCGCAAUUUUGUUGUCAGAACAAAAACAGCCCGAAUCUCGGCAGGUGCUAUGGUAGCGUGUCAGAUUGCCAAUCCAAUUGCCCUAAUGUUCUUGACCCUCAUUUAGUGUUUAUUAUUAUCUUGUAA